rnacentral:rRNA from 1 species
GACCUUAGCCUGCUAAAUAGGAUCGGGAACUUUUUUGUUCUCGCAUCACUUCUUAGAGGGACUUUGCGUGUCUAACGCAAGGAAGUUUGAGGCAAUAACAGGUCUGUGAUGCCCUUAGAUGUUCUGGGCUGCACGCGCGCUACACUGAUGCAUGCAACGAGUUUUUGACCUUGGCCGGAAGGUCUAGGUAAUCUUUUGAGUAUGCAUCGUGAUGGGGAUAGAUUAUUGCAAUUAUUAAUCUUCAACGAGGAAUGCCUAGUAGGCGCAAGUCAGCAGCUUGUGCCGAUUACGUCCCUGCCCUUUGUACACACCGCCCGUCGCUGCAACCGAUCGGAGGGUCCUGUGAACUCGAUGGACUGCCCAUCCCCUUCUUGGGGUUGGGCUGGAAGUUGCGUAAAUAGAGCCCUCUAAAGGAUGCAAAAGUCGUAACACGGUUUCCGUAGGUGAACCUGCGGAAGGAUCAUUC